UACGGAGGGUGCAAGCAUUAAUCGGAUUUAUUGGGCGUAAAGGACGCGUAGGCGGCGAGAUAAGUCGGGUGUGAAAUCCCGGGGCUCAACCCCGGAACAGCACUUGAAACUGUCUCUCUAGAGGGUAGGCGGAGAAAACGGAAUUCCACAAGUAGCGGUGAAAUGCGUAGAUAUGUGGAAGAACACCUGUGGCGAAAGCGGUUUUCUAGCUUAUUCCUGACGCUGAGGCGUGAAAGCAAGGGGAGCAAACAGG
rnacentral:rRNA from 1 species